AGAGUUUGAUCCUGGCUCAGGAUGAACGCUAGCUACAGGCUUAACACAUGCAAGUCGAGGGGCAGCAUGGUCUUAGCUUGCUAAGGCCGAUGGCGACCGGCGCACGGGUGAGUAACGCGUAUCCAACCUGCCUUACACUCUUGGACAGCCUUCUGAAAGGGAGAUUAAUACAAGAUGUUAUCAUGAGUAAGCAUUUUCGCAUGAUUAAAGGUUUACCGGUGUAAGAUGGGGAUGCGUUCCAUUAGAUAGUAGGCGGGGUAACGGCCCACCUAGUCUUCGAUGGAUAGGGGUUCUGAGAGGAAGGUCCCCCACAUUGGAACUGAGACACGGUCCAAACUCCUACGGGAGGCAGCAGUGAGGAAUAUUGGUCAAUGGACGAGAGUCUGAACCAGCCAAGUAGCGUGAAGGAUGACUGCCCUAUGGGUUGUAAACUUCUUUUAUAAAGGAAUAAAGUCGGGUAUGGAUACCCGUUUGCAUGUACUUUAUGAAUAAGGAUCGGCUAACUCCGUGCCAGCAGCCGCGGUAAUACGGAGGAUCCGAGCGUUAUCCGGAUUUAUUGGGUUUAAAGGGAGCGUAGAUGGGUUGUUAAGUCAGUUGUGAAAGUUUGCGGCUCAACCGUAAAAUUGCAAUUGAUACUGGCAGUCUUGAGUACAGUUGAGGUAGGCGGAAUUCGUGGUGUAGCGGUGAAAUGCUUAGAUAUCACGAAGAACUCCGAUUGCGAAGGCAGCUUACUGGAUUGUAACUGACGCUGAUGCUCGAAAGUGUGGGUAUCAAACAGGAUUAGAUACCCUGGUAGUCCACACAGUAAACGAUGAAUACUCGCUGUUUGCGAUAUACGGUAAGCGGCCAAGCGAAAGCGUUAAGUAUUCCACCUGGGGAGUACGCCGGCAACGGUGAAACUCAAAGGAAUUGACGGGGGCCCGCACAAGCGGAGGAACAUGUGGUUUAA
rnacentral:rRNA from 1 species